GACAACAUGGCCGAGUGGUUAAGGCGCUUCCCUGCUAAGGAAGUUCCCUUUGGGAGCGCAGGUUCAAAUCCUGCUGUUGUCG